rnacentral:rRNA from 1 species
ACAUCAACUGGAGGACCGAACCGACUAAUGUUGAAAAAUUAGCGGAUGACUUGUGGCUAGGGGUGAAAGGCCAAUCAAACCUGGAGAUAGCUGGUUCUCCCCGAAAGCUAUUUAGGUAGCGCCUCGGACGAAUACUACUGGGGGUAGAGCACUGUUAAGGCUAGGGGGUCAUCCCGACUUACCAACCCUUUGCAAACUCCGAAUACCAGUAAGUACUAUCCGGGAGACACACGGCGGGUGCUAACGUCCGUCGUGGAGAGGGAAACAACCCAGACCGCCAGCUAAGGUCCCAAAUUACUACUAAGUGGGAAACGAUGUGGGAAGGCUCAGACAGCCAGGAUGUUGGCUUAGAAGCAGCC